GGGCCGUUAGCUCACUUGGUAGAGCGCAUCCAUGGCAUGGAUGAGGUAGCAGGUUCGAUCCCUGUACGGUCCA
rnacentral:tRNA from 2 species